ensembl:lncRNA
GGGUAGCCUAGUGGUUAGAGUGUAGAGGUGGCAGGGUAGCCUAGUGGUUAGAGUGUAGAGGUGGCAGGUAGCCUAGUGGUUAGAGUGUAGAGGUGGCAGGUAGCCUAGUGGUUAGAGUGUAGAGGUGGCAGGGUAGCCUAGUGGUUAGAGCGUAGAGGUGGCAGGUAGCCUAGUGGUUAGAGUGUAGAGGUGGCAGGGUAGCCUAGUGGUUAGAGCGUAGAGGUGGCAGGUAGCCUAGUGGUUAGAGCGUAGAGGUGGCAGGGAGCCUAGUGGUUAGAGUGUUGGACCAGUAACCAGCAGGUAGCCUAGUGGUUAGAGCAUUGGACCAGUAACCAGCAGGUAGCCUAGUGGUUAGAGCGUUGGGCCAGUAACCAGCAGGUAGCCUAGUGGUUAGAGCGUUGGGCCAGUAACCAGCAGGUAGCCUAGUGGUUAGAGCGUUGGGCCAGUAACCAGCAGGUAGCCUAGUGGUUAGAGCGUUGGGCCAGUAACCAGCAGGUAGCCUAGUGGUUAGAGCGUUGGGACAGUAACCAGCAGGUAGCCUAGUGGUUAGAGCGUUGGACUAGUAACCAGCAGGUAGCCUAGUGGUUAGAGCAUUGGACUAGUAACCGAAAGGUUGCAAGAUCGAAUCCCCGAGCUGACAAGGUAAAAAUCUGUCGUUCUGCCCCUGAACAAGGCAGUUAACCCACUGUUCCUAGGCUGUCAUUGUAAAUAAGAAUUUGUUCUUAACUGAAUUGCCUGGUUAAAUGAAAAUUAACCACAAACAAUUAAUGAACAUGCACCUGUGGAACGGUCGC